ensembl:misc_RNA Metazoa_SRP Metazoan signal recognition particle RNA
GCUGGGCGUCGUGGCGGGCGCCUGUAAUCCCAGCUACUUCGGAGGCUGAGGCAGGAGAAUGGUGUGAACCCAGGAGGCAGAGCUGGCAGUGAGCCAAGACCAUGCCACUGCACUCCAGCCUGGGUGACAGAGUGAGAUUCUGUCUCAA